GACGAACCGUGCGAACGUUGUUCGGAAUCACUGGGCUUAAAGGGCGCGUAGGCGGGCGGGCAAGUCGGAGGUGAAAGCCCACAGCUCAACUGUGGAAGUGCCUUCGAUACUGCCGGUCUAGAGGGAGGUAGGGGCGUGCGGAACUUCCGGUGGAGCGGUGAAAUGCGUAGAUAUCGGAAGGAACACCGGUGGCGAAGGCGGCAUCCUGGACCGGCAUUGACGCUGAGGCGCGAAAGCCAGGGGAGCAAACGGG
rnacentral:rRNA from 1 species